ACAGCAGCAACAAUAUCAAAUACAUUCACAACAACAAUCGCCACAACAGGUGAUGAGCAGCAGCUCGCCAAAGCAAGAACAAUCUCACAUCUU